UACGUAGGGACCGAGCGUUGUCCGGAAUCAUUGGGCGUAAAGAGCGUGUAGGCGGCCAACUAAGUCCUGCGUGAAAUCUCGGGGCUCAACCCCGAGCGGUCGUGGGAAACUGGUUGGCUAGAGUGCGGGAGAGGAGAGUGGAAUUCCUGGUGUAGCGGUGAAAUGCGCAGAUAUCAGGAAGAACACCCGUGGCGAAGGCGGCAUCCUGGACCGGCAUUGACGCUGAUGAGCGAAAGCUAGGGGAGCAAACGGG
rnacentral:rRNA from 1 species